rnacentral:rRNA from 1 species
GGAAAGGCCUCGGGGUGGCCCCCGGCCGACGGGGAGGCCCUAGCACAGGUGCUGCAUGGCCGUCGUCAGCUCGUGCCGUGAGGUGUUGGGUUAAGUCCCGCAACGAGCGCAACCCCCGCCGUUAGUUGCCAGCGGUUCGGCCGGGCACUCUAACGGGACUGCCCGCGAAAGCGGGAGGAAGGAGGGGGACGACGUCUGGGUCAGCAUGGCCCUUACGGCCUGGGCGACACACGUGCUACAAUGCCCACUACAAAGCGAUGCCACCCGGCAACGGGGAGCUAAUCGCAAAAAGGUGGGCCCAGUUCGGAUUGGGGUCUGCAACCCGACCCCAUGAAGCCGGAAUCGCUAGUAAUCGCGGAUCAGCCAUGCCGCGGUGAAUACGUUCCCGGGCCUU